rnacentral:lncRNA from 1 species
GUUUCCCAAUCCCCUGAGGGAGGGGCCUCUACCUCCUCUAUGGAGUGCUGUAUCUCCAUGGUCUAAAGCAAUGUAUGAUGGUUAGAAGCUUCCUGCAAAUGGUGGUUGAGUCAAUGGAAGUUGAAAGUGUUGAACACUAUAAAUGGAUCUGAGCUUAAGAGUCCACUCUGGCCUUUGCUAACUAUUUACCUGUCUGAAGCCUAAUUUGUAAGAUAAUAAAACCCACAUCUGCACCAUGACUUCCUGGACAUGUGAGCAGAGUGAAGCCACUGGUUGUGUCCAUUUCUCAAGAAAGUUACAGCAUUGGACAGAGAGGAAGACCGGGUGUAUCCAGCUAACCCUCUGGCAGUUUUUAAUGCAUAUGACUGAGACAGAGCAAGAGACAUGGAGAAGAAUUUCCCUGGGCCUUGAACAUGCACAGGAGCAGAAGUUCAGGAUCAGUGAUGCCAGGUCGGAGAUAAGAAGUAGAUGCCAAGAAAUAGAGCUGAAGAAACCAAGGCAUAGAAAGUUUGAAUCUUGGACCCACGAUCACAUAGGAAAUCAGAGGAAACAACAGAAAGCUUGGACGUGCUCUGCCUCUAUCCCUCUCUGUCAGCAGCUCUUGCCAGAGCCCAGUGAUGCUGGCUGCACAUACAAAGGCGCUGCAGAUCAAUUUGUGGUGUUAAAGUGCUCAUGCCCUUUCCGGAGGAGCAUUGCCUUGAAUAUUUAACAGGGCAGAAACCCAUCAGAUUCAAGUUCUCUGGAUGGUGCUCGCCCAACACCUAUGGACAGGCACAAUAUUUCAAUGGUUUCAAGAAGGUAUCCUGGGAGAAGUGAACUGAAAUAUGGAGGAUGCCUUGGAAGAGGAAGGAGCUAGAAGAGAGCAUGGUGAAGUCUGUGGCCAGAGUGCUGUGGAUGGAGAAGGGAUGGAAGGAGGGAAUUCAGAAUUUCAGCGUCCCAGGAAAGCUUCGGUGUGCUAAAAGAGAAUGGAAGCAUUGAGAGCGUUUCACACGGCUCAGGAACCCUCCAAGAGGCGACGCCAGUUCUCCACGACAGUUACCUGUUCAACGGAACUUAACUAACACACCUGUGUAUCAUCCCUGCAACAUACACGAGUCUUCCUUGAGUUCUGCUUACUCCCCAAGAGAGAUCGCUGUGUUUACGGAGCAUCGUGUGUUCAGGCCAAGGUACAAGGAAAGCAAAUGUUCCGAGGAGGUGAUGAGAAAUGACCAGGAAGACACUUCACACUCAGUAGGCUAAGGUAGCCCAAGAUUAGGAAACCUCUAUCUUUCAAGGAAGACUGCUGGGAAACAUCCCAACAUUUACUCCAAAGGGAGGCAUUGCAUCUGUCCUGGUCCUGACCAACAAAUCUUUCCUCUCGUCUGGAGGAAGACACUAGCUCUGUGUUCUAAGGCUGUUUGCAAUACAAAUAUCCUUCAAAGGCUAGAGCAAUACUUGGUACAAGACAGGCAGAAAUGAGAGAGAUGUGUCUUGCUGCAAGGGAGAUGGCAGCAGCAAUGCUGCCGGUGGUGGUGUCUGGUACCCUGUGUCCCAGUGACUGCUCUGAAAUUAGAGCAAGGUGCUGCAGCCAAAACUUCAGCGGAUCUGUCCAGGCCUUCCCAAUUCCCUUUGCGGAGCAGAACUAGCAGCCCAGGAUUCAGCUGUAUUUUCUGAGCCAGCAGAUGAUGUUGGUGGAAGUAAGGAGAAUUCCUCCCUUUUGGAUGGCAGCUCCCCUAAAGAGAUAUGUUAUUGAAGUUAACCUGCAUAGGAAAAGAAACCCUCAGAAGCUUAUUAAAGUGAAGAACAAAAUUGAUGUUUGUCCCGAAUGUAGCCUGAAAGGGAAACAUACCCUUUCAGGUAUGCUAUGAGAAAGUGUGCAAGGAGACUGCAGAAAUCAGAGGACAGAUGGGGAAACCCAGGGGACUGUGGUCCCCCACAGCAGAGACGAUGGCCCUGCAGACGGGAGAGACCCAGUCUGAACACCACUCAGACAAGAGCAAUGUCGACAGAGACAGGAAUAGGCUGUUCUGGUUCACCCAGGACUGACACCAAAGAUGCUGAAAGGAUAACUCCGCAGGAAAAUAUUUCUUGUGAAACAGAGAAGGAAUCUUUGUUUUUAUGUUGUUGUGCUUGUUUUUAAACUAUCAAUCUGGUUUAAAUUGUAACUUGUAAGCAGUUAAUUUUGUGUGGGAUAAUUUGAAGCAUAUAUCAUGGGGGAACCUUGAAAAUGUCUAUGCAAAAGUUCAAUGGAUUAAUGUCUGUUUAUACCACACUGUCCAGUUUCAAAUAAACGUAACAUUUUUCAGAACAACAUUUUUUUAAAAAACUCACCGUAAGAAAAAGAAAGAAACAUGAGAGUUGCAUGGAAGAUUAGCCCCCAAAACUAUUAAUGAAUUGUUAAAAUUGUAUGAGAAAAUUUCCUGUGCAGUAUCUACUAUAGAGAAGAAAAUGAAUACAUUUUUCAUGAGUAAAUGGAUAAAUAAAAGAAUGAAUGAACAUAUGAUAGAUACUGGGAUGCAAAUGACUAGAAAUGUGUAACAUAGAAAAAUGGGAAAAUAGUUAUUACCUUUGGC